rnacentral:rRNA from 1 species
CCUACGGGGUGCAGCAGUAGGGAAUCUUCCACAAUGGGCGAAAGCCUGAUGGAGCAACGCCGCGUGGGUGAAGAAGGUCUUCGGAUCGUAAAACCCUGUUGUUAGAGAAGAAAGUGCGUGAGAGUAACUGUUCACGUUUCGACGGUAUCUAACCAGAAAGCCACGGCUAACUACGUGCCAGCAGCCGCGGUAAUACGUAGGUGGCAAGCGUUAUCCGGAUUUAUUGGGCGUAAAGGGAACGCAGGCGGUCUUUUAAGUCUGAUGUGAAAGCCUUCGGCUUAACCGGAGUAGUGCAUUGGAAGCUGGGAGACUGGAGUGCAGAAGAGGAGAGUGGAACUCCAUGUGUAGCGGUGAAAUGCGUAGAUAUAUGGAAGAACACCAGUGGCGAAAGCGGCUCUCUGGUCUGUAACUGACGCUGAGGUUCGAAAGCGUGGGUAGCAAACAGGAUUAGAUACCCCGGUAGUC